ACGAACGCUGGCGGCGUGCUUAACACAUGCAAGUCGAACGGAAAGGCUCCAGCUUGCUGGAGUACUCGAGUGGCGAACGGGUGAGUAACACGUGGGUAAUCUGCCCUGCACUCUGGGAUAAGCCUGGGAAACUGGGUCUAAUACUGGAUAUGGCCUUUCUCCUUAUGGGGUUUGGUGGAAAGUUUUUCGGUGUAGGAUGAGCCCGCGGCCUAUCAGCUUGUUGGUGGGGUGAUGGCCUACCAAGGCGACGACGGGUAGCCGGCCUGAGAGGGUGAUCGGCCACAUUGGGACUGAGAUACGGCCCAGACUCCUACGGGAGGCAGCAGUGGGGAAUAUUGCACAAUGGGCGGAAGCCUGAUGCAGCGACGCCGCGUGAGGGAUGACGGCCUUCGGGUUGUAAACCUCUUUCAGCAGGGACGAAGCGUAAGUGACGGUACCUGCAGAAGAAGCACCGGCUAACUAUGUG
rnacentral:rRNA from 1 species